rnacentral:lncRNA from 1 species
ACUGGAGGGAGAUGAGGAGGUGAGUGUGGUCCUGGGUCACGCCAAUGCAAUGCAACGUGUUCGCCUGAUUCUAAAAAUCCUCAGUAACACUUUUUAAUAUACAAGAGUCAAAAGUACAGCAGUUUUACAAUGUAGGAAAAUUUAAUACAUACUAUAUAAACAACAUUAUUUACAUCAGAAAUCACUAGGACAGUGGCAUUUUUCACAAAUAUAAAUUAAUUACUGUUUAGUCAACAGAUUUUAAAAGUCCACAAUUUUACAAUAAAGAAAAAUCAUCCGUCCCCAACCAAGUGGGGCGCAGAUGGACUAAAGCAGGCUGGGCCCCUGGCCUGGCUCUCCUCGCUGACACGGCCGCCCCAGACGAGCCGGGGGCCCACCGCUCCUGCUGACGAGUGGGUUUUGGUCUGUAGGAUUCCCGUGUCGCUGUGUGAAUUCCUAACUGGGUUGCGUUUGCACCGCGCGCCCUGAUGCGGCCCUCAGGUAUCGGGGGUAUCGGGUUAGGUCUGCAGCACGACGUGAGAGGUGUCCUGGGUUCCCGUCGGAGGGUGUAAGGAGGGAAUGGCUGGAAGGAGGGGGAGCCCAGGGCAGUGGCCGAUGGGGGGACCAGCCUGUGGUGACCCCUUGCUCUUUCUACCCAGUAACUACAUCCUUCAGAGCCACAGAAAACCAUCCUCAGAGACUCCGGGGGAGGCUUCUCCCAUCCACGAGUGAGAGAAUUCCUAUCUGUGCAAAUUUCUGGUUUCGACAGAAGCAUACAGUAUUCAUACUGACAACGAGGAAAUGCUUCCUCUCUCCCAACCCACUCUGCAAACACACUCCGGCACCUAAGACAGAUGCUUUUAUGAGGAUACUGUACUUUCUGUAAUCAACUUAACACUGAUCUGGCUGAUACUAUAGCCUUUUGCUGCAGCAUAUGGCACUAGAAGUCCUGAAUGUGAACAAAAGGAAGCUCCUUUUUCCUCAUGACGAGACAUCUUUGGGAAUAACUCACAUCUCCUAUCAACAACUUCAGAGGAAAAAAACC